UACGAAGGGUGCAAACGUUGCUCGGAAUUACUGGGCGUAAAGGGUUUGUAGGUGGCCCGCUAAGUCACACGUGAAAUCCCUCAGCUUAACUGGGGAACUGCGUGUGAGACUGGCAGGCUCGAGGGCAGGAGAGGAACGCGGAAUUCCAGGUGUAGCGGUGAAAUGCGUAGAUAUCAGGAAGAACACCUAUGGCGAAGGCAGCACUCUGGGACGGUACUGACGCUGAGACGCGAAAGCGUGGGGAGCGAACAGG
rnacentral:rRNA from 1 species